GUCUAGAGCCGCAGAGGAGAAGGCGUUUCACUAAUAUAAUGAAAACAGCGUAAAAGUUCUGUGGAAUUCAGCUUUGUAUUUCUGGAUCUCUGAAUUUCUCCUGAGAACGAUUUUUCUGAGCGAUUCCAKCUUCCAGACACAUUUGCCAUGAUAAGGGUUUCGAUCCUUUCCCACGCUUGCUCUGAGCCAUGAGUGGAUAUGUGUGAUGCCUACAAGUAAAACUGAAAUAGUUCGCUGCAGUUUCCUGUUCGAGCUACCGGCUGUGCUGCUGUGCCUGGUGCUGCUCGUUGCCCCGGCGCAGGGGCAGUGCUCCAGCUCUGACCCUCGGUGAAUUGCGAGCGCGGAGCUAGUGCUCUGCCGUUACCCAGAGAUGCUGUUUGCUACUGUAA
rnacentral:lncRNA from 1 species